UACGAAGGGGGCAAGCGUUGUUCGGAAUUACUGGGCGUAAAGGGCGCGUAGGCGGCUUAUCAAGUCAGGCGUGAAAUUCCCGGGCUCAACCUGGGGGCUGCGCUUGAUACUGAUUGGCUUGAAUGCGGGAGAGGAUAGUGGAAUUCCCAGUGUAGAGGUGAAAUUCGUAGAUAUUGGGUGGAACACCGGUGGCGAAAGCGGCUCUCUGGUCCGGACCCGACGCUGAGGCGCGAAAGCGUGGGGAGCAAACAGG
rnacentral:rRNA from 1 species